GGGCACAUACUUUGCACAUGUACAUAAACUGAAAAGAGGAAAAGAAGCUCAACAUGGCCCUUGUCCAAGAGGGACAUGCAAAUUCGUGAAGCAAUUCAUAUUUCU
ensembl:snRNA U6 U6 spliceosomal RNA